UCCCUAGUAACUCAACUGGUAAAGAAUCUGCCUGCAAUGCAGGAGACCCUGGUUUGAUUCCUGGGUUGGGAA
rnacentral:tRNA from 1 species